CCUGAAUCCCUUCUUACUAUUACAGUUGCAAAAUGGCGAUUUUCUGACGUCAUCCUUUCUUCACUGUUUCUAUGUUUAUUAGCCAGCCUUCUGCCAUAAAGAACACCUGCCUCUCCUUCCUUAUCUACAGCACUCGUUUGGUGUCUCACAGCCAGAACCUGGGCUCUCUGCUCACGGUCUCAUGAGGCUGGAAUCCAGGCAUCCCCAGGGCUGUGCUUCCCGCCUGGAGUCAGAGGUCCUCUCUCAAGCUCAUGCAGGCUGUUGGCUGAUUCAGUUCCGUGCGGGUAAAGACUGAGGUCUCUCUUUUCUUGCUGGUUGUCGACUGGGCCCGUUUUCAGCUCUCCUAGGAACCACUGCUGUCCCACAUGUGGUCCUCUGCAUGGUUGUUUGCUCCUUCAGGGUCAGCAGGAGACUCUCCCUUGUCUGCGCUGAUGAAGUCGUAUGCAGCGCAACCCGAGGACGGAAGAAACUCUCCCAUCACCUUGCUCAUAUUGAUGCGGGCUCGGGAGCCGAAGAGUUGAAAGAAAGAUAUCUUGGACUCUCAAGAUCUGGUAAUAGUGCUCCCUUAUUCAGAGAACAACAUGGGAACAGGACCCAUAGGCAGUGAGAGCUGCAGCGUGGGGACAGGGCCCAUGGGCAGUGAGAGCUGCAGCGUGGGGACAGGACCCAUGGGCAGUGAGAGCUGCAGCGUGGGGACAGGACAUGUGGGCAGUGAGAGCUGCAGCGUGGGGACAGGGCCCAGGGGCAGUGAGAGCUGCAGCGUGGGGACAGGGCCCAGGGGCAGUGAGAGCUGCAGCGUGGGGACAGGGCCCAUGGGCAGUGAGAGCUGCAGCGUGGGGACAGGGCCCAGGGGCAGUGAGAGCUGCAGCGUGGGGACAGGGCCCAGGGGCAGUGAGAGCUGCAGCGUGGGGACAGGACCCAUGGGCAGUGAGAGCUGCAGCGUGGGGACAGGGCCCAGGGGCAGUGAGAGCUGCAGCGUGGGGACAGGGCCCAUGGGCAGUGAGAGCUGCAGCGUGGGGACAGGGCCCAGGGGCAGUGAGAGCUGCAGCGUGGGGACAGGGCCCAGGGGCAGUAAUAGCUGCAGUGUGGGGAAAGAGCCCAUGGGCAAUGAGAGCUGCAGUGGGUUGAGGGCAGGGCUACAUUUAUAAGGCAUAGGCAUGUGAGUUAUUUCUUUACAAGACAAAGGAAAGAUCACGUGAAAAAAAAGGUCAUUAAAUGGUAUCAGUGCAGGUGGGGUCUGGUUAUCGGGUGGUUGUAUAACUUUGGCUACGAGUCAGGUCGGAUCAGGUCAGGACGUCCUGUACUUCCGGGAGGAUGACAGAGAUUGGUAUGGAGGCCAGGAGGCCUUGGGCUUUUCUCCCUGGGCCAGCCUUGAUCCUCAUCAAUAUGAAAUAACCUAACGAGGGAGCCACGCUCCCAUCACAUUCAGUCAUAGUGUUUCCUAAAAGUACAUCAGUCAACAGUAACUUGAAUUACUUCUACUUCACCAAUAUUCCUUUCAAUUUGUUUUGCCCUUCAUUUGAAAUUCAAUGGGUUCAUUUGCUUCUGUUUGCAUUCCAUUUUAGGCACUUUCUCCCAUCUUUGUUGGUUUUUUAAAUGUGUAUGACAUUAGCAUGCUUCCAGGUCAAAACUAUACAAAACUGUACACGUGCUCAAGGCAGCGGUACUCACGUCUCUACCCUCCCCCAUCUUCCCCUCCCGAUAGGCAACCGAUUGUAUUUAGUUUCUGGUUUACCCUUCCUGUUAUUUUUGCAAAAUUGAUUUUUAAAAAUGCAGGAUGUUUUCUUAUUUCCUUGUUUCUAACAGAAAAUUUAGUGUACUGUAGACGCUCUUUUGUACUUAUCCUAGAAAUCCAAUCAAUUCACAGAUAUUCUUCUUUUUAAAAAUGCAUAGGUGUAUGAUACUACACUGCUUGUUUGUAUCAUAGUUUACUCAACCAAUUUGCUAUGCCUAAGCAUUUAAAUAGUUUGCAAUAUUUUGCAAUUACAAGUAACGUUGCCAGGAAUAACCUUUCGCAUAUGUGUGUCCGUAUUCUUGGAGGUGCAUCUUCAGGGUCAGUCCCUAGAAGUCGAUUGCCGAGUCAAAGGGUAAAGCUGUACGUAGCGUUGUUAAGAUGUUGUCAUAUCGUCCUUGGAGUGUUUCCUGGCACCAACAACCAGUUCCCUGAUUCUCCAGAUGCCAAGUGGGUGGCCGGCAAUUCACUUCACUUCUGACAUUGCCUGGGCUUAGCACAGACCCCGCAGGUCAAGGACUCAGUCCCACAGGACGGCUCCCAUUUCAGAUGCUAGUCCCAAGUCCAGGGCCACCUUCGGACCAAGUGGCCCUAAAUUAGGAGUCCCCAGGACCCCUAUCAGGUUUGAGAAUUCACUAGAAUGGCUCACGAACACAGGGAAAGACUGUAUUUACAUUUACCAGCUUAUUAUAAAGGAUACAGCUCAGGAACAGCCCCAUGGAAGAGACGCACAGGGCAAGGUCUGGGGGGCGGGGCGCAGAGCUUCAAGCCCUCUCCAGGCCCGGCCCCCAGCGCCUCGCUGUGCUCACUGGCCCAGCUCAUGGAAUCUCCUCGCUCAGAGUCUUUAUAGAGCUUGAGCCCCAGCCCCGCCGCCCUCCCCGCCCCAGAGGUCAGGGGUGAGGCUGAAAGUUCCAGCCUUCCAAUCACUUGCUCUUUCCGGUGGCCAGCCCCAUCCUGAGACUCUGCAGGGGUCCCACUCAGGUCAUCUCAUCAGCAUGAACUCCUCCCUGUGCUCAAAGGGGCUGGUUAGGAAUGGCAAAAGACACCCAAUCACCCAGGCAAUGCCAAGGCUUUUAGGAGCUCUGUGCCAGGAACCUGGAGAAAAACCAAACUGAUUAUUUAUUAUUAUACCACACCCUCUGCAUAGAUUGCUCCACUCUGCAUUCCCACCGACACUGAGCGAAUUGCUCACUUUCUUCUCAGCCUUGUUAAGCUUUUACAUUUUUGCCAAUCUGAUGGCUGGAUAAAAUAUCUCAAUUUCCUUUCAAUUUGCAUUUCUCUUAUUAUGAAUAAAAUUGGGCAUCUCUUUACACGUUUAUAUAGUAAAGGCUGUGUAUAUUUAUAUACAUACAUAUUUAUAUAUGUAUUAAUUGCCUUUAUAGCUCAUGUUCAUUUUUUUUCCUUUUUUCCUUUCUUUUCUUUCUUUCUUUUUUUUGUGAGGAAGAUUGGCCCUGAGCUAACAUCUGUGCCAAUCUUCCUCUAUUUUAUGUGGGAUGCUGCCACAGUGUGGCUUGAUGAGUGGUGCUAGGUCUGUGCCCAGGAUCUGAACCUGCCAAGCUCAGGCCAUCAAAGCAGAGUGUGCAAACUUAACCACUAUGCCACCAGGCUGGUCCCAUCAUAUCCAUUUUUUCUAUAGGAUUUUUGGUCUUUUUUUCCUUCAAUUUUUACAAGUUUUUUAAUAUAUUAGGGAAAUGAAUACUUUGUGAUAUAUGUAGCAAAUAUUUAUUCACAACGUGUCAUUUGUCCUGUGACUUUGCUUAUAGUGUAGUUUUGUUGUCAUGCAAAAGUUUUCAAUUUUUAUAUAGUCAAAUUUAUCUAUUUUUAAAAUUGCAUCUGAAUUCUGUCAUCUUCAGACAGCUUUCCCUCCACUUGGGCUGUAGAGAAAAUCAUUCCUGUCUUCUUCUAGCGUUGUGUACAUCAGUUUUUUAACAUUUAGCUCUCUGAUUCAUUGAGUUUAUUCUCAAGUGUGGUGUGAUGAAUCGAUCAGACUUUAGCUUUAAAAGAAUUUUUAAUGAUGUGGAAAAAAUACACUUAGUAAUGACAACUCCAGAAAAGGAAGAUACAAAAUUGCAUGUACAAUGUGACCUCCACAUACAUACAUGGAACACAUAUUAGAAGGAAAUGCACAGAGAUGUUACAAAUGCUUACAUUUGGUUAGUAGCGCUAUGGAGAAUUUAAAAUUUUUUCUUCAAUAUGCUUUUCAUAAUUUCUAUAAUGAACAUGUAUUACUUUAUAAUCAGAAAGAAAAGCAGGACCUGGUCUUUAACUUAAAAAAAAAAAAGGCUUGGCCCUGGUUUUUUUUUCAGUCUGAAAAGGAGACUUAGAAAAUAUAUACGUAGUUGAAGCAAAAAAGAAUAGGAUCAGCAUACACUUCUCCCUCUUCUCUGAGCGUCUCCGCCUCUCCGCGUGUUUUUGUCCCCCGUUUUCUUACUCCCCUUGUCUUACAUCGCAGUAAAAUACAGGCAGAAAAUGAGCAAGGCUUCCUCAGCGUAUCAUUUUAUUGCUGCAAAAGCAACUUGGGGUUAAUUCUUUCAUAAAACACCACCGCAGGUUAUGACAGGAGCUCGGAGACACCGCGAUGCUCACGGAUCAUGGGAAGGCUUCUGGCCGCACAGUCCCUUCCCCCUCAGCCAACAGUCUGGAACCAGCAACAGGGUGACCUGUCACAGGCCUUCUCUGUGUUGUCCUGGAGGGUGUAACAUUCCAGGCCAUUCAUUUCAGCAGCUGAGUGGUCAGGGGAGAAUCAGUGCUUCCUUUCUUUCACGGCCCUGGUGGUGUGCAGCUGGACAGCUAAUGCCAGAUGGCUCCAUGGGAGGCAGGGCCAACAGAGCUGUACUCCGCCUGCCCCAGGGGAGAGCUGUGCAGCGCGGCUCUCAGGGUUGCCGCGCCCCGCGCUUAGAGGAACGUCCACUGAGUGCUCACGUGUGGGGCAGGCUGUCUCGUGAAGGCGUCAUGCAGCUCUGCACGGCAGGCACAUCACAGCGUCACAUACGUCACACAUGUCACAGGUGCAGGCCAGUAACUCUCCCCGGCUCGGCCAGCCUGGGGGCGGCUGCGCUAGAGUCUGAGCAAAGUCAGAGAUCCAAAGGCUAUUCUGACGCAUCAGGCGAAGCGUCAGUCCCGAGAAACAGUAGCUUAACACGUCUCCACCCUUCAGUGAGUCCCAAGACUUCCCGAUGGGACGAGGCCUCCUCCGAAGACGUUGUCCAGUGGGCUGUCUCAACGCAGGUUCUGCGAGAAAAGGAAACUCCACCAACAACGAUUGGAAUAUCAUCUUCUCAUUUCUUCCCAGGACGAUGGCACAGAACAACUAGUAACACUGAUGUGAAAGACAGCGUUUAAUUCAGUACACAACGGGGUGCCCUGGGGCAUUGGGUCUCUCUCUCUGUCCUUCCCUCUCUCUUGAGAAGGUUGCGAGGGUAACAAGCCUACACUGUCCUUAUCAGCUGAAUCCUCCUAGGUCCAUUAACAACCCCCGGAGGGGGCCUUUUACUCAGGACUUCAUGUUGACAAUAAAACAUAAAUGAUGUAUUGCAUGUCAGUUACUCUGCUGUCGAUCUAAGCAGCCAUUCACAACACAGCACACGACAGACUACACCUGGGAGACUUCUGGUAUUUGCUCUCGUCCUCCCUUGUUGAGGGAAGAUGGAUCCUGAGCUGGGAGGACCGAAGCGGCGUCUGUCUAUCUGUCUUGUUCGUCUUUGUUCGGUGGCUCUCUUUGGAGCUUCCUACUGGAGUGGGAUUUACGCGCUGCGACUUAGGUUAAUACAGUUGCUUAGAGUUCAAACUUCAAUUACAAAAUCUUCCUCAAGGCUAUUGCAUACCUUCAGGCGGGGUUGCUUCCGGUUUGCAGCUCCUGCGGUGAAGGCCUGGAGAAGCUUGAUCCCUGUGCGUGUUCUUUAAAUCCUGAAUAACCAGAACCUCCUCUUCUCCUCGUCUCUCUUUCUUUCUCACUGUCCCUGAAACUUGCUUUUUUUCCCAAAAGAGAUUAACAUUCAGGUUAAGUACCAGCUGAUGCCGGUGUCCCCAUAACUUCACGAGUCCCCUGGUUCUCGGCUGGAGUGACAAUUUGGUUGCUUCAUGCUGGCUCACAUUUAAGCAAAACCAGCAAUGUUAGCUAUCAACAACGGCUUGAUGUCUCAGAAAAUAUCCUCAUGCUGGAUAGUUCAAUGCCAAAGUUUGUUUUUUC
ensembl:lncRNA